CAAGUUUUCUGCCCGUUGCCUCUUGUCCUGGUGGUUGGCACCAUCAAGAAGAGCCUGGCUCCAUCUUCUUGGCACCCUGCCUACAGAUAUAUACACACAUCAACGAGGUCCCCUCUCACUGUCUUUUCUUAAGCCAAACAGGCUGGCCCUGGGCAGGGGCCAUGCUGCUUUGGGGGUGCUGAGUACUGAGAGCCAUGGUACCCCGUGGCCCCCACUUCUGAUAACCCACAGACCUUCACUCAGGAGCAGGGGCUGAGGCAGUGCCUGCCCUUUGAAGCCUUGAGCUCCUUUCUGAAAGUGCACACAUGUGUUCCCCUAAGUGCCAUGAAACUCGCCUGAGCCUGCUCAGGCUGGGAUCCUACACAAGCUGGCCUGUUGGUUCGGCAGAGCUGAGACUGGUGUAUGUUCUGCCAACGUGAUUUCAGGCUAUUGCUUAUGUAAAACAGAACACCUCCUAAGCCGUCGUUUACUAAACAGAAUCUCUGGCUUCUGAUCUCACGCUACACAAGGAGGCAAAUUGUAUUCUGUGUGAGAAGCUUUAAACGUGAACGUAAUGGAAAGGGGACAUUCAGCGAAACAAAGACACACCUCCAGAAACAACAAAGACAAGACGAACACUCAGCUGCUGAGGAUUUGCUGACUCGGAGCUCUACAAAACUUACUUGAUCAAGCACCAUCCUUAUACAACACAGAAAAAAACAAGUGAUCAGUUCCACUCAAGACUCACAGAGUUCUCUCAGCAAGAGACACAAGAAAGAAAUCAUCAAGAAUGAAAACUGUUGGAUACAGUUGUAUUACCUGGAGCACAGGGAUGGAGGUCCCUUGGAGCCUGGUGGCAUUCCUUGUGACUGAGGUGACGACAGAGACUAAUUUCUUGCCGUAGUUGAAUGAGACCUAUCUGACGAAAAUGACAGCACCAAUGUCAGUUUAACUGGCACGUAAAUAAUAGAGAUUAUUUCUAUGUUCCUAAAUAAAUAUAUUUUCUUUCCUCCUGGAGAUAUUC